rnacentral:rRNA from 1 species
CAGAUGUGAAUCCCCGAGCUCACUUGGGAACUGCGUUGAAACUACAAGACUAGAAUAUGUCAGAGGGGGGUAGAAUUCCACGUGUAGCAGUGAAAUGCGUAGAGAUGUGAGGAAUACCAAUGGCGAAGGCAGCCCCCUGGGAUAAUAUUGACGCUCAUGCACGAAAGCGUGGGGAGCAAACAGGAUUAGAUACCCUGGUAGUCCACGCCCUAAACGAUGUCUACUAGUUGUUGGUGGAGUAAAAUCCAUGAGUAACGCAGCUAACGCGUGAAGUAGACCGCCUGGGGAGUACGGUCGCAAGAUUAAAACUCAAAUGAAUUGACGGGGGCCCGCACAAGCGGUGGAUUAUGUGGAUUAAUUCGAUGCAACGCGAAAAACCUUACCUGGCCUUGACAUGUAGCGAACUUUCCAGAGAUGGAUUGGUGCCCGAAAGGGAGCGCUAACACAGGUGCUGCAUGGCUGUCGUCAGCUCGUGUCGUGAGAUGUUGGGUUAAGUCCCGCAACGAGCGCAACCCUUGCCAUUAAUUGCCAUCAUUUAGUUGGGCACUUUAAUGGGACUGCCGGUGACAAACCGGAGGAAGGUGGGGAUGACGUCAAGUCCUCAUGGCCCUUAUGGCCAGGGCUUCACACGUAAUACAAUGGUCGGUACAGAGGGUCGCCAACCCGCGAGGGGGAGCAAAUCCCAGAAAGCCGAUCGUAGUCCGGAUUGUAGUCUGCAACUCGACUACAUGAAGUCGGAAUCGCUAGUAAUCGCGGAUCAGCAUGUCGCGGUGAAUACGUUCCCGGGCCUUGUACACACCGCCCGUCACACCAUGGGAGUGGGUUUUACCAGAAGUAGGUAGUCUAACCGUAAGGAGGACGCUUACCACGGUAGUAUUCAUGACUGGGGUGAAGUCGUAAAAAGGUAACCGUA